GGGUACCCUAGGGUUAUGGGGGACCUACGGGGGUACCUACCGGGAAUUGGGAGGGGGACUAUGGGACACCGAUGGGGACAGGGGGGCACGGGAAUGGGGUGGGGGCACCACGGGAAUGGGGUGGGUGCCACGGCAACCAUCAUUAAAAGCUGUGCGAGGCUCGGGUGCCAUGGCAACAAUCAUCAGGGACUGUUGCUAGGGUUGGUUGCCAUGGCAACUCUCAUUGGGAGCCGUUGCCAGGGCUCAGUACCAUGGUAACCGUUUCUAGGACCCGUUGCUAGGCUCGAUUGCCAUGGCAACCAUGAUCAGGAGCCAGUGUUAGGCGUGGGUGCCAUGGCAACCAGUGAUGGGGAUGGCAGCAGGCACUGCAGCAUCCUGUUGCCACGGCAACAGCCUCCAGUACCUCCUCCCAGUCCCUCCCAGUGCCAUCCCAGUCCCUCCCACUCCGUCCCAGUGCAUUCCCAGUCCCUCCCAGUGCCAUCCCAGUCCCUCCCAGUCCUUCCCAGUCCCUCCCAGUCCCUCCCAGUGCCAUCCCAGUGCCAUCCCAGUCCCUCCCAGUGCCAUCCCAGUGCCUCCCACUCCCUCCCAGCGCCCCCCAGCACCCAGCAGGACCCACCCGGGAGCGGAAGGGCUCGGGGAAGCCCCCCGGGGGGACCCCGAUGUGUCCCUGCAGGAAUUCCACCACGCUCAGCGGGAAGGAGAGCUCGUCCGCCCGCGCCUCCACCUCCUCCCGGGACAGCCCGUUCUGCACCAUGAACUGCGCCAGGUCCCCCACCACCUUCGAGAGCUUCUCCACCCCAUGGAGACCAUCUGCCCCAUGGAGACCUUCUCUUGGAGACCACCCACCCCAUGGAGACCUUUUGUGGAGACCCCCCACCCCAUGAACAGCAUCUGCCCCACAGAGACCACCCACCCCACAGAGCUCCUCCAUGCCAUCGGACACCAUCUGUGGAGACCCCCCACCCCAUGGAGACCACCCACCCCAUGGAGACCUUCUCUUGGAGACCCCCGCCCCACAGAGCUCCUCCAUGCCAUGGAGACCCCCCACCCC
rnacentral:lncRNA from 1 species